GACGAACGCUGGCGGCGUGCUUAACACAUGCAAGUCGAACGGAAAGGCCCUGCUUGCCGGGUACUCGAGUGGCGAACGGGUGAGUAACACGUGGGUGAUCUGCCCUGCACUUCGGGAUAAGCUUGGGAAACUGGGUCUAAUACCGGAUAGGAGCCAUCUUUAGUGUGGUGGUUGGAAAGUUUUUUCGGUGUAGGAUGAGCUCGCGGCCUAUCAGCUUGUUGGUGGGGUAAUGGCCUACCAAGGCGGCGACGGGUAGCCGGCCUGAGAGGGUGUACGGCCACAUGGGGACUGAGAUACGGCCCAGACUCCUACGGGAGGCAGCAGUGGGGAAUAUUGCACAAUGGGCGCAAGCCUGAUGCAGCGACGCCGCGUGGGGGAUGAAGGCCUUCGGGUUGUAAACUCCUUUCGCUAGGGACGAAGCUUUGUUGUGACGGUACCUAGAUAAGAAGCACCGGCUAACUACGUG
rnacentral:rRNA from 1 species